UACAGCAUGGUAUCGGGGGACACUGUCAUCGUACCUGGAGCGCUGGAAGAAUCCACACUGGGAAAGGGAACAGUUUAGGAUUAAAUUACAAUCAAAGUACUGGAUUUCCAAGUUCACACUCUGCUUGAGAACCGUUUUGAUUGGCACCACAAGUUAAUUGUUUUUCCUGAAUUAAAGAUGUGCAGAAGUCAAAACACAAUCUGUUCAAGAAGAGACUUACUUCUGAGUUCACUGUUUCUGGUUCGUUUGAAUUCAGAAUUGGAACAAGAUCUGGAAGUGAUCUUCCUUGUCUUCUCUUUGAUGGUAAACUGGAUUCUGAGCCGCUGAUUUUAACGCCAACCGAUACAGGAAUGGGACGUAGUUUAUCUUUGAUAUUUUCCUGUUAAACGUUUGAAAUAGCUUAUUUAAUAUACAAUGUAAAAAAUCCCACUAGAUUUGGUAACUAAGCAAUAUAUAUUCUAUUUUGUUUAGAGUGCAAGCAAGAUUCUUUCGCUAUGUUUCUCAAGGGAAAAAACUGAAUGUAUUCAUUAUAUGCAUUGACUUAAAGAACAUUAACAACAGACAGGCUGGUAAGGGCCAUCUGAACCCCAGGGCUCACUGCUUUACUAAUGAUCUCUCUCACAGGUAAUGAUCACUAGGAAUAACAUCUGGGAACACAGAGGUAAGCAUCAUAUCUUUAAUAACCAUCCACUAGAAGAGGAAACAGUGGACAUACUUCCCCGCUUCCUAUAGAGCAGUGGUUUUUAACCCUUUUUCAUUUGCAGACCCCUAAAAUAUUUAAAAUGGAAGUGCAGACCCCUUUGGAAAUCUUAGACAUAGUAUGCGGACUCCCAGGAAUCCAUGGACCACAGGUUGAAAACCACUGUUCUAUUGUAAUGGCAACCUUUCACGGACCCCUUAGACAUAGUCUGCGGUUCACCAGGAGUCCACAGACCACAAGUUGAAAACCAUGGCUGUAAAGGAUUCAUUCAAUUGUGGAAGGAAAAGUGAAGCAAAAAUUGGCUUGUAACAGUGACACUUCCAAGGCUGUUGCUUGGUCACAGACUAGGCAUGGAGUACAAAGAUAAUUUUCCUGCCCCUCACACUCGGCCCCAUGGUAGAGUCCUCCAGGAAAAUAAAUUUAUAACAAAGUCCUCCAUAACAAUCCUUUUUCUGUCCACUAAGAACCACAUUAAAUGCCCAAGGCUAUUUAGUUUUGGGGAAUUCUGUGCCACUGCAUAGGUAAAGAAUACAUUGUCUCCACAGAUUUUUUUUUCCCCCUUUUCAAAAUAUAGAUUCUGCUGGAGAGGCAAUGCAGUUAAGCCUUUCACUCACCAGGGGUGGCUGUGGCACCAGAAGAGAC